GACGUAGGGCGCGAGCGUUGUCCGGAAUUACUGGGCGUAAAGAGCUCGUAGGUGGUUUGUCGCGUUGUUCGUGAAAACUCACAGCUCAACUGUGGGCGUGCGGGCGAUACGGGCAGACUAGAGGUACUGCAGGGGAGACUGGAAUUCCUGGUGUAGCGGUGGAAUGCGUAGAUAUGGGAGGAACACCAGUGGCGAAGGCGGCUACCUGGCCGGAUACUGACACUGAAGCACGGAAAGCGAUGGGGAGACAAACAGGGAU
rnacentral:rRNA from 1 species